GCUUCUUUAAAAAAACAUCGCAUAAUAUAAUAUGCGUUUAUUAUAGACGUUUUAGUUGUGAAAGUUUGUUAAAAAAAUCAAUAGUCAGUGACAAUUUUUUUACUGUGGUGUUUGUUAAAAAUAACAUAUUAUCUAUGAUUUUUCAAUGUCAAUUCUUCCUAUACAGGGUUAAGUUCAUAACAAAGUUCAUAAAUAGCCUCAGUUUAGCUUGAUUCAAAUGCUAAAAUGAGCUUCUUAGACGGAUUACCGCAUGUGGAAACUUGUUGCUUUUGUUGUAGUCUUAAAAUUGGCAGUAUUAUUAUAGCUGGUCUUCGAGUUUUAAACUUGGUUGAAGUCAUUCUUUUUUUUUUCUCUUCCGAUUCUUUCGAAUGCGUCACGGGACUCAUGGUUACAAUUAUAACUUGGAUAAACGUCGUUUUUACCGUGGCUCUAGUGCUAACAGCAAUUUAUUUUCUCUUUGGAAUAGUAAAGGUAAGAUCUGUUCAAUGAAAUUGAGUCGUGAACUCUACGCCGCGUAGAGUGUAGUGAAUCCUCCACAAUUGUCAACACGGAAGAUAAACUGUCGUACGAUCCAAGGAAAAAGUAGAUUUAUACUUGCAAAAUGUUGAUUAUCUACUGUAAAAUUAGGAAAUUGAAUCUUAGUAUAUUUUACUCUCACAGCAAUACUCAUAUUCCUUUAAACCUCUUUAGCAAGGGUCGUUGUAAAUUAGGUCAAAUUGAGCCCUUCAGUGUGCAACCCAAUUUCCGAUUCAGAAAGAUGAUUACGAAUAUAAUAUUUUAAUGACAAGUGUUUAUGAGUGUGUUUUGCACAACACUGAAAAGUAAGGAAAGAGACGGGGGAGACCUCUGCCCAGGCGAGAGAACUAAGAAAGGCUGGCUAAAAAAAAACAAAGUUUUUAUUAUUAAGCAUUAUGAAGCUUCCGUUUGGUAAUAUCAGACAACAUGAUUUUUCUAAACAGAAAUAUUUUGUUUCCUUUAACUAUGUAUAUUUGGUGCUCGAAUACAGAUUCUCUGUACUCUGGUCAUUUACACUUAAGGCUUUUAGUAAAGGGCCCAGGGGUGGGUUUAUGUAUGGCUGGUUAUAAUAGCACUGCAACUAUCGUACGAAUGGAACAUUAUAGGCAAAAUCUCAGUGUCGAGGGAAUUACCAUUAUAAUAAAAGGUUAAUUUAAAUGCUCCCCGAUAUUUCGUAUUUUGUCUCGUUCUAUCCUCGUAAAUCAGUCCACUCCAAUAUCCUUUUUAGAUCCAAUACAUCGGUCUGACCGUGUAGCGGGCCGUCUUACUUUUACAACUGACACUGUCUCUAUUAUUUUUUGACUACACUGAUAACCGACUGAUUGAGGUCAAGACGCCAGACCCACUGAGCGAGACUUAUCGCGUUGAGUCUGGGCAUCUUUGUUCAUAUGAUUUAAAUGUUUGCAAAACUCCCCGCGAUCCAAGGAUUAACUUCCAGUCAUACGCUAUUGAAUGAUCUUCUAGAGUAGCCGUUGUAAUGAUUUGUUUUUCACAGGGUUGGCCUGAUACCGCCGUCUGGUUUAUGUACGUCUCAGCACUAUUUUUGAUCUUUGAAGUAGUCGGUGGUAUAAGCUUAUGUUUUGCGGAACCUAAAGAAGAUUGUCCUCCACCCUGGAUUUACGGAGUUUCGACUAUUUUCAGUUGUUUAUUGGAAUUGUAUUUUUUAAUUGUUAUAAAAAGUUAUCACAGAGUUAUGCUCCUACGCUGAAGGAUGUCAUGUGCAUUGUAAUAAAUGCUAAGCGUCUAAGGCGCAGACAAGAAAAGUAUCUGGGAAUUACAAAUUAUAAAUUUUAAUGCAAGCAGGACGAAGGCGAGGCAGAAAAGUGAAUUCUUACUUCUUCAAUAUUCUUCAAAGUUAUUGUCUAGUUAUGGACGAAGGCAAUUUUUUUAUUACGCUUUUUUUCAUAUAAACUUAUUUUGAUAUGAUUUACUUUAACUAUUUUUUUUUGUAUUAAGUAUCUUGUAUGCGUAUAUUACUAAGAAUUAUAAUAAAAAAAGGAUUCGA